CAUAAAAUGGCUAUACCCAAAUUAUCGUCGUCAACUUGAAGAUAAAGAAGGUGGAUAUUACAUCAUGAGAUAUAUGUAUGACAUCAUUGAUCUUAACGAAGUUGACUCAUUAGACAUGCAUUUCAAUAAUCCACAAUGUUACUCCCAAGAAGACAUCAGCUUUAUUCGUAACAGGUGGUCAGCCUAUUUUUUGGCGACUCAGUGGUGGUUCACGACGUUAAAGGAGAUGAGAGUUGUGGAGAAGGUAUUAUUUGGACGUACUUGAUUAGAAGACAUUAAUUAGUAAAUAAUGCAUACUAGAG